rnacentral:rRNA from 1 species
GAUGAACGCUGGCGGCGUGCCUAACACAUGCAAGUCGAACGACGCGCCUUACCGGAUUCUUCGUAUGAAGGUCUGGUGACUGAGUGGCGGACGGGUGCGUAACGCGUGGGUAACCUGCCCUGUACAGGGGGAUAACAGCUGGAAACGGCUGCUAAUCCCGCAUCAGCUCACGAGGAGACAUCUCCUUGUGUGAAAAUCUCCGGUGGUACAGGAUGGGCUCGCGUCUGCUUAGCUGGUUAGCAGGGUCACGGCCUACGACGGCAGCGAUCAGUAGCCGGUCUGUGAGGCAGGACCGAGACACUGGAGGGAAGACGCAGUGCGAACUCCUACGGGAGGGAGGAGAGCAGAAUAUUGCACUACGGGGGAAACGAUGAAGGAGCAACGGUGCGAGAGUGAAGAAGUUUGUAGAUAUGUAAAGCUGUAUCAGCAGGGAAGAUUCUGACGGUACCUGACUAAGAAGCCCCGGCUAAAUACGUG